GAUGAAGAACGUAGCGAAAUGCGAUAAGUAAUGUGAAUUGCAGAAUUCAGUGAAUCAUCGAAUCUUUGAACGCACAUUGCGCCCGCCAGUAUUCUGGCGGGCAUGCCUGUUCGAGCGUCAUUACAACCCUCAGGCCCCCGGGCCUGGCGUUGGGGAUCGGCGGAAGCCCCCUGUGGGCACACGCCGUCCCUCAAAUACAGUGGCGGCCCCGCCGCAGCUUCCAUUGCGUAGUAGCUAACACCUCGCAACUGGAGAGCGGCGCGGCCAUGCCGUAAAACACCCAACUUCUGAAUGUUGACCUCGAAUCAGGUAGGAAUACCCGCUGAACUUAAGCAUAUCAAUAAGCGGAGGA
rnacentral:misc_RNA from 1 species